GGGAGUCUCUCAAAGUGACACUGCAGAAGCAUUCGGAAGAGGGGAAGAAGCAGGAGGAAAGGGUUAAAGGUCGUGAUAAACAUAUCAAUAAUUUGAAAAAGAAAUGUCAGAAGGAAUCAGAGCAGAACCGGGAGAAGCAGCAGCGGAUUGAAACCUUGGAGCGCUAUCUCGCUGACCUGCCCACCCUAGAAGACCAUCAGAAACAGACGGAGCAGCUUAAGGACGCUGAAUUGAAGAACACAGAACUGCAAGGGAGAGUGGCAGAGCUGGAGACUAUGCUGGAGGACACACAGGCCGCCUGCAGGGAGAAGGAGGUUCAGCUGGAAAGUCUGAGACAAAGAGAAGCGCAAUUCUCCUCUGCUAGACAUAGCUUUCAAGAUAAACAGUCUUUGGAGGAAGCCAGUGGUGAAAGCCUCAAAGUGGAAAUGGAAUCCCAGCAGAAGGAAUGUGAUUCCCUCCGAAAGAUCGUGGAGAGGCAACAGCUGAAGUUGGAGCAGCUGCACUCGCAGGUCCAGAGCCAAAAGCAAGAACUGGCACAAGAAGAAGGAAUAAGCCAGGCGUUGAGAGAGGAGGCCCAGCGGAGGGAGACAGCCCUGCAGCAGAUGCGCACAGCCGUGAAGGAGCUCUCAGUGCAAAAUCAGGACCUGAUUGAGAAGAAUCUGACACUGCAAGAGCACUUGCGCCAGGCCCAGCCAAGGGUUUCCUUUUCCUGCUCUGACCUUGAGCGUUCAGAGCACCUAGUGUGGGUCAGCACUAAGGUGAAACAGUCUUGAGUGUUUCCUGGUGUUUUGUGUUUCUCUAGAGCCUUUGACCCUUAACUUCAUGGUUUUUCUUGCCUUCCGAUUUAAGGAUUGUCUCGGUUUUAUCUGGUUGUUGGGCCAGCCCUCAACCUCCUCUAGUUUGGAGCUAAUACGGGCUCCAUAUGUAUGAGGAGCAGAAUAGUCGUGGGGGUGCAGAGGCAGCCAUGACAGGACUUCUGCUAAGCCUGUGGGCUGUUAAAAGCACUCUGGACCUCCAGGGCCUAAGUGGGCCUCUUUACAAGUGUUUUAACAAGUUUAUGUUUUAUUUAUGGAGUGGCUUACCUUUCAGAGUAGCCACACCCAGUUGACUAUCCCCUCAGCCUCUGGGCUGCUGCCUCCUAGAAACAGAGCUUCCUGGUUGGUCUCCCCCAUGUCAUGUGGAGCCCAGCCUCCAUGCUCACGGGUACUUUCUUGGUAAAGUUUAUAAAGUUAUUUAUAUGAAUCUUUGUUAUGUUGACUGGUUUUAUUGCCUAUUUUGAUUACAGAAUAAAACGUUUAAC
rnacentral:lncRNA from 1 species